CAUUGAAUCACCGGUUCCCGUACGAUCACUGAAGGUAGACAACUUCAAGCCUGUUCAGUACCUCGAUGGGUAGCCACUUGGUAAUACCAGGUGUUGUAAG